rnacentral:lncRNA from 1 species
CUGUUUUGCAGGGGACUCUGUAUCUGCUGUGGUCAUUCUUUCCUGGAUUCACAUUCCCACAGGCAGUCUCCAGAGAGUUUGGUGUUCUCUGCCAAUUGACAGGAUCUAGUCGCUUGCUUCUGGGAGACCGGAGGUAGAUAUCUUCUGGACUGUGAUGUGAAACGACCAACUUGAGAAGUCCCAUUUCAUUUUGAUAUCAGGUCGGCCCAGAGUAGAGCUGAGGAAAUGGAGAUGCCAGUUUCUCUCGGAGCCCAGCAUCCCUCUAUGUUCUUCACAUUAUCUGACUGGAAGGGAUACAUUGACUUCACUGCCCAUUGCUGGGUCCUGAUGUUCAGUCAGAAAACUACCCUCAGCCAGCGUCCUGCGUUCCUCUGUAUGUUGCUGUCUUUAAAGUUCAAUACGGAAA